UGAAGGCGGAUGGCGGAGCUCCCGGUAGGAGACGCGAUCUAACGGGGAGAUGGGCAGUGUUUUUCAUUGCGCCUCCUUCUCGUUUCGCGUCGACCGGCGGCGAUUUCCCCAGGGCGGAGGCGGUGUGAGUCGGUGGAGCCGAAGGAGAGGCGACGGGAGUGCGGAAGGUGAGGAGGCUCGGUGGCAGACGCGAUUUCAGAACGCGAUCUGAGUUCUCCGGCGUUUCCGUGCGGCGUUAGCUCUCGUGCUGG
rnacentral:lncRNA from 1 species